rnacentral:rRNA from 1 species
AAUAAGCGGAGGAAAAGAAACCAACAGGGAUUGCCUUAGUAACGGCGAGUGAAGCGGCAAAAGCUCAAAUUUGAAAUCUAGCACUUUCAGUGUUCGAGUUGUAAUUUGAAGAAGGUAACUUUGGAGUUGGCUCUUGUCUAUGUUCCUUGGAACAGGACGUCACAGAGGGUGAGAAUCCCGUGCGAUGAGAUGUCCAACUCUAUGUAAAGUGCUUUCGAAGAGUCGAGUUGUUUGGGAAUGCAGCUCUAAGUGGGUGGUAAAUUCCAUCUAAAGCUAAAUAUUGGCGAGAGACCGAUAGCGAACAAGUACAGUGAUGGAAAGAUGAAAAGAACUUUGAAAAGAGAGUGAAAAAGUACGUGAAAUUGUUGAAAGGGAAGGGCUUGAGAUCAGACUUGGUAUUUUGCGUUCCCUUCCUUUUUGGUUGGGUUCCUCGCAGUUUACUGGGCCAGCAUCGGUUUGGGUGGUAGGAUAAUGACAUUGGAAUGUAGCUUUACUUCGGUGAAGUGUUAUAGACUUUGUUGAUACUACCUAUCUAGACCGAGGACUGCGUCUUUGACUAGGAUGCUGGCGUA